CUCCUCUGAAGGAAGUAAAGCCCUUGAAACCAAACAUCCUCUCAACUAGCAGUCGGGCUGCCAACCUUAAGACAAGUGUGACCAGGUUGCAGGAACAGGGAGAGACAAUCUUAGCAAAGCUAAUUUCUUCCUCAAGAAACGUAUGACACCAGGAAUCCUUGUCAUCGUCUUGUGAGGGGCACUGGGAUGACGGUAAGCAGCCAUCAUGCAGAGGGUGACAAAGCAAAACGACAGAAAGGCCCUGGACGUUGAGGGCCACCCUGAGCCAGGGGAGUGACCAAUCUUGAUGCCUACACGACACUUCCUUGUUAGCUGAAACACAUCCCUAAAAAACUGCAAGACUGGGCCGGCCGAGUGGCGCGAUGGUUAAGAACUGGCUUGGG